GCGGAAAUAGCUCAGUUGGUAGAGCAUAAACUUGCCAAGGUUAGGGUCGCGAGUUCGAGUCUCGUUUUCCGCU
rnacentral:tRNA from 1 species